rnacentral:lncRNA from 1 species
CUGCCACACACAGGGUUUCUCUUUGCUUGGAUCCCCCUCCCUCUGUCUCUGUAUGGGGGAGCUGUUUUCUUCUUCCUUUCCUCUUUCUUGCCUAUUAAAUUCUCUGCUCCUUAAAACCACUCCAGACUUGUGUCCAUGUCGGUCAUCAUGAGACCAAGGACUCUGGUGUUCCUCCAGUCAUCGGAGCCAUAUCAUUUUGGUGCAUUGGCCGGGAAUUCAUUCAACGGAUUGAACAAUCAACAAAGCAGCCAGGUGUGUUGAUGACAGCUCUCAAGCUUUCACAAGGUGUAAUAGGACGGAUGAGCCCAUUCCAUUGAGACUAGCACUACCCAGGAGAGCCAGGAAGGUAAAGAGACCACCUACAACAGUGUAAUCCGUCCAAAUAAGGACAUCAAGUCAAAUGGAUGGAGGGAGACAGUAAAUUUAAAACAUUAAAUUUUAAGUAAAAACAAGUCAUACACUUCAUGUCUAAAACACCAAAAGCAAUGGCAACAAAAGCCAACAUUGACAAAUUGGAUCUAAUUAAACUAAAGAGCUUCUGCACAGCAAAAGAAACUACCAUCAGAGUGAACAGGCAACCUACAGAAUGGGAGAAAACUUUUGCAACCUACUCAUCUGACAAGGGCUAAUAUCCAGAAUCUAAAAUGAACUCAAACAAAUUUAUAAGAAAAAAACAAACAACCCCAUCAAAAAGUGGGCAAAGGAUGUGAAGAGACACUUCUCAAAAGAAGACAUUUAUGCAGACAAAAAACACAUGAAAAAAUGCUCAUCAUCACUGGCCAUCGGAGAAAUGCAAAUCAAAAUCACAAUGAGAUACCAUCUCACAUCAGUUAGAAUGGCAAUCAUUACAAAGUCAGGAAACAACAGGUGCUGGAG